rnacentral:misc_RNA from 1 species
GAUGAAGAACGUAGCGAAAUGCGAUAAGUAAUGUGAAUUGCAGAAUUCAGUGAAUCAUCGAGUUUUUGAACGCAUAUUGCGCCCUCUGGUAUUCCGGGGGGCAUGCCUGUUCGAACGUCUUUAAAUAACCCUCAAGCAUAGCUUGGUGUUGGGCUUUUUUACGUCCUUGACUGGGAUGGGCCUAAAAAUUAGUGGCGAUGGCUUUUUUACUUUCAAGCGUAGUAAAUCUCGUCUUGCUAAAGAGGAAAAAGAUUUUUUUUCUGCCAAAAAUUUUAACAUUUAAAGUUGACCUCGGAUCAGGUAGGAUUACCCGCUGAACUUAAGCAUAUCAAUAAGCGGAGGA